GACGAACGCUGGCGGCGUGCUUAACACAUGCAAGUCGAACGGUGAAAGCGGAGCUUGCUCCGCUGGAUCAGUGGCGAACGGGUGAGUAACACGUGGGCAACCUGCCCCGCACUUCGGGAUAACUCCGGGAAACCGGGGCUAAUACCGGAUCUGCCCUCCUUGGGCAUCCUCGGCGGUGGAAAGUUUUUCGGUGAGGGAUGGGCCCGCAGCCUAUGAGCUUGUUGGUGCGGUAGUGGCCCACCAAGGCGACGACGGGUAGCCGGCCUGAGAGGCCGACCGGACACACUGGGACUGAAAAACGGCCCAGCCUCCUACGGGAGGCAGCAGUGGGGAAUAUUGCGCAAUGGGCGAAAGCCUGACGCAGCACCGCCGCGUGCGGGAUGACGGCCUUCGGGUUGUAAACCGCGUUCAGCAGGGAAGAAGCCGCAAGGUCACGGUACCUGCAGAAGAAGCACCGGCUAACUACGUGCCAGCCGCCGCGGUAA
rnacentral:rRNA from 1 species